UCCAUUAGUGUUUCUUUUAUGAAUUCGAAUGCAUGUAUGCAUUGCUUUUUCCAUUGUUGUAUCAUUUUUUUUUAAAAAGGAAGAUCUUAUUGUUUCUACUGGUCGGGUCUGAGGGUAUAAAGUCAUUCAAGGGGGUCAUGUUGGUGGGAAUGUGAGGUCACAUUGCAUCCAUAAUCAGGAAGCAGUGAGAGAUCGCAGGAUACAGCACACUUCCCCCUUUUACAUUUUACUCAGUUAUAGACUCCAGUGAAGCCAAAGAACAGGGUCAAGGAUGGGAAGGACUCAGGCAAAUCCUUACAAAAAAGUGGUAUAUGGGGGAAAAGUCAGCAAAGCAGAAAGCUUUGCUCCCCCCCACUUAUUGUCCUAGAGAUUGACUACAGCCAUUAGAAGAAGCCAGGGAUACUCCAGAGUGUGUGCAGGUGACCCUUGGAUCAUCACAACACUAAAGCGCACAUUACUGAACGGAUUUAGGAGACAUGGGAUACAUGAAGUACAGUGAACAUAUUAAAGUCAUGCAGGAAAAGCAGGCCCAAGAACUCUGUCAGCCACACCAGACCAAGGCAGUGCAUGCCUUCAUCUGAGUCCUAUAACGAGGUAACACCUAGCAUUAAGAUAAAGAUAGCAUUCACUGACCACUCAGGAUAUGCAUUGAGAGACCGUCAGGCAUAUGCUUCACAACUGUCUCGGGGCCUUAAGCUCAGCUCAGUCUCUCGUGUUGAGAUGGUGUACUCAAACUGCCAUCUGCUCAUCUACCCCUUACCUGUCUAGGUCUGUGUCCUGGCUGGCUUUACACCAACUCGACACAAACUAGAGUCAUCAGAGAGGAAGGAGCCUCAGUGGAGGAAAUGCCUCCAUGAGAUCCUGCUGUAAAGCAUUUUCACAAUUAGUAAUCAAUUAGGUGGGGGGAAGCCCAGCCCAUUGUGGGUGGUGCCUUCCCUGGGUUGGUAGUCCUGGUUUCUCUAAUAAGCAAGCUGAGCACGCCAUGGGAAGCAAGCCAGUAAGCAGCAUCCCUUCAUGGCCCCUGCAUCAGCUCCUGCCUCCUGGAUCCUGCCCAGCUUGAGUUCCAGUCCUGACUUCCUUUGGUGGUGAACAGCAGUGUGGAAGUGUAAGCUGAAUAAACCCUUUCCUCCCCAGCCUGCUUUGUGGUCAUGGUGUUUGCUGUAAUGACAGAAACCUUAACUAAGACAAUCUGCCAUCCAUUGAUCCACCCUGGUCCUGCCCUGUUGUCUCUGUUCUGGUCUCAAUCCCGACCCUGAAGCCUGACACUACAGUGGUUCUCAACCUAUGGGUCAUGACCCCUUAGAGUUUCAAAUGGCUUUUUUCCACAGGAGUCACCUAAGACCACCAGCACCAGGAAGCAUAGAUAUUUACAUUAGGAUUCAUAACAGUAGCAAAAUUACAUUGAUGAAGUAGCAACGUAAAUGAUUUUGUGGUCGGGGGUCUCCACAACAUGAGGAACUGUAUUAAAGGGUCUCAGCGUGAGGAAGGCUGAGGACCACUGAAAAGCAACAGCUCAGGUUGGCUUGUCAUCAGUACAGUUUAGUUCUACUAGUUUCUCUGCUUCUCAGUACCUCUAAAACCCCCUGAUGUCUUGUGGCCCCUUAACUCAUGAGAGGCAUUCUACAACCUACGAAUAUCAUAAGUAGAAACAUUUGCUGGGUGAUGCAUGAUAUGUGAUCUGAGAAUUAAUAUUAAUUCCUAAAAUUGUGGUAAAGCGGCCUAUGCUCACCUUUGCCAGACUAUCAAGAAAAGCUGACGUAUCUGACAAAUUGUUGCCAUAGGAACAGUGGUCCCUAGUGAGCUCAUUGUUACCCAAUAAAUGCUGAGACUGGGGAAAGACACAAACGUGCUUGUCUAUGUUGCUGACAAAAGCAUCUGGGACGGUGGGGCACGGACUCUAAGUAGGUUUUCAGUACAUACAGGCUGUGCAAAACAGAACACAGCUCAAGUGGGCCUUUAGCGUGGAUACAUAUCUCAUCGGCGAUCAAUUCCUGCUUCCCCUCCCUUUGAUAGUUAGCCUGACACCCAGACAUGAGUUUUGAGAUAGUUUAUUUUCUUUAACAGUUUUAACUCCUUAAAAUUGCGUGUGUAUGUCUUUCCAGUUCUGAUCGCCAUAGUUCGCAGUUUAAUCCUCAAGGAAGUAAAGAAGCACAGAGAGCACUGUGGGGAUGCUUGUGUGCCAGCCACCAUCAGGGUCUCAUAGAGAGGACGCAGCGGAUGCUGAAACGCAAGAGUAAAUGCUGAUGUGACUAACGGAGAGAAGAAAAAAUACCAGCACAGACUCAUUUGAGAGCAUACACCCAAUGACCUAAGACCCUCCCAGAAGACUCACCUCCUAAAGGCCACAGAACCUAUCAGUAAUACCAUCCUGGGGGCCUCGCACACCUGAGGGACACUAAGGAUCCAUACUUUAGAAACAAUGCAACAUCUGACGAUCGCACAGCUCGCUGGUUAUGCAGGUUUUCCCCUGACCUAGAAACCUCUUAGCAUAAAACUGGAAUAAGAAGGUGAUGUCUGUUACAGCUUCUUCCAUCUAUAAUGAAGUAAUUCUUUUGUUUAU